AACGAACGCUGGCGGCAGGCUUAACACAUGCAAGUCGAACGCCCCGCAAGGGGAGUGGCAGACGGGUGAGUAACGCGUGGGAAUCUACCCAGUUCUACGGAACAACUGAGGGAAACUUCAGCUAAUACCGUAUACGCCCUACGGGGAAAGAUUUAUCGGAAUUGGAUGAGCCCGCGUAAGAUUAGCUAGUUGGUGGGGUAAUGGCCUACCAAGGCGACGAUCUUUAGCUGGUCUGAGAGGAUGAUCAGCCACACUGGGUCUGAGACACGGCCCAGACUCCUACGGGAGGCAGCAGUGGGGAAUAUUGGACAAUGGGCGCAAGCCUGAUCCAGCCAUGCCGCGUGAGUGAUGAAGGCCUUAGGGUUGUAAAGCUCUUUCAGUGGGGACGAUAAUGACGGUACCCACAGAAGAAGCCCCGGCUAACUUUGUGCCAGCCGCCGCGGUAACAC
rnacentral:rRNA from 1 species